UCUACUACUUGAGACUUUAUUCUCUGGGUCCAGCUCCAUACCCUAAAUUCUGAGUUUCAGCCACUGAACUCCAAGGUCCACUUCUCACCAGCAAGGAAGAGUGGGGUAUGGAAGUCAUCUGUCCCUUCACUGUUUAGAGCAUGACACUCUCCCCCUCAACAGCCUCCUGAGAAGGAAAGGAUCUGCCCUGACCACUCCCCUGGCACUGUUACUUGCCUCUGCGCCUCAGGGGUCCCCUUCUGCACCGCUGGCUUCCACUCCAAGAAGGUGGACCAGGGUCUGCAAGUUCAACGGUCAUAGCUGUCCCUCCAGGCCCCAACCUUGCCUCACCACUCCCGGCCCUAGUCUCUGCACCUCCUUAGGCCCUGCCUCUGGGCUCAGACCCCAACCUAGUCAAGGGGAUUCUCCUGCUCUUAACUCGAUGACUUGGGGCUCCCUGCUCUCCCGAGGAAGAUGCUCUGCAGGAAAAUAAAAGUCAGCCUUUUUCUAC
rnacentral:lncRNA from 1 species